rnacentral:rRNA from 1 species
GAUGAACGCUGGCGGCGUGCCUAAUACAUGCAAGUCGAGCGAACAGAUGAGGAGCUUGCUCCUCUGACGUUAGCGGCGGACGGGUGAGUAACACGUGGAUAACCUACCUAUAAGACUGGGAUAACUUCGGGAAACCGGAGCUAAUACCGGAUAAUAUAUUGAACCGCAUGGUUCAAUAGUGAAAGACGGUUUUGCUGUCACUUAUAGAUGGAUCCGCGCCGCAUUAGCUAGUUGGUAAGGUAACGGCUUACCAAGGCGACGAUGCGUAGCCGGCCUGAGAGGGUGAUCGGCCACACUGGAACUGAGACACGGUCCAGACUCCUACGGGAGGCAGCAGUAGGGAAUCUUCCGCAAUGGGCGAAAGCCUGACGGAGCAACGCCGCGUGAGUGAUGAAGGUCUUCGGAUCGUAAAACUCUGUUAUUAGGGAAGAACAAAUGUGUAAGUAACUAUGCACGUCUUGACGGUACCUAAUCAGAAAGCCACGGCUAACUACGUG